GAUGAAUAACGUAGCGAAAUGCGAUAAGUAAUGUGAAUUGCAGAUUUCAGUGAAUCAUCGAAUCUUUGAACGCACCUUGCGCCUUGUGGUAUUCCACAAGGCAUGCCCGUUUGAGUAUCAUUAAAUCAUCAACUCUAAAACCUUUUUGGUUUUUUUAGAGCUUGGUCUUGAGGGUUUUGCAGGCUUUUUUUUUUUCGAGUCUGCUCCCUUUAAAUGCAUUAGCGAGACUUCCCUAUGCUGAACCGUCUCUUUGACGUGAUAAUUAUCUGCGUCGAAUUUUGGUUCUCGUUGGGCUUGCUUCUAAUCGUCUGUUGAAGACAAAACGGAUUUGGGUGCAUAUAUGCGCCUUUUUCCAAAACCUUUUUUGAUCUCAAAUCGGGUAGGACUACCCGCUGAACUUAAGCAUAUCAAUAAGCGGAGGA
rnacentral:misc_RNA from 1 species